ACAUGUGAUGCUACAACCCAACUGGGGGAUCGCUCGGCUCGAGUGCCGAUGAAGGUCGUGACAAGCUGCGAUAAGCUGCGGGUAGGCGCAUGUAUGCCUAAGAUCCGCAGAUGGCUGAAUAGGACUUCCUGUUUCUUCGGAAACGGUCGCGUUAGCGAUAGGGAACCCACCGAAUUGAAGCAUCUUAGUAGGUGGAGGAAAUGAAAUCAAUUGAGAUUCCGUUAGUAGUGGCGAAUGAACACGGAUCAGGACAAGCCGAAUCCCAAAUCGAAAGAGAGGGAGAUGUGGUUGGCAGUCUUUUGUCUAAGUCAUGGAAGGAGAACUCGCCUGGAACGGCGGAUCCAUAGAGGGUGAAAGUCCCGUAUCCGUACAUGAUAUGACCACGUGACUGUCACAGAGUAGCAUGCGUUGGAAAUCGCGUGUGAAUAUGGGAGGCAGAUACUUCCAAUCCUAAAUACAACUCGAGACCGAUAGUUUACAAGUAACGUGAGUGAAAGCUGAAAAGUAUCCUUAGCGGGAUGUGAAAAGAACGUGAAACCAGUUGGGUACAGGCUGAUUGGGCGUGAAAGCGAAGAUAUGAGCAGCGUCCAGUCGUGCGUUUAGAAAAAUGCCCCAGGGAGUCUUGAUCAUUGGCGAGGUUAAGUGGUUGAUCCACGUAGCCGAAGGGAAACCGACAUGUCCGCAGCAGUUUACUGUGAGGGACGAAGUGUGCUCGCUUGGAGUCAAUGGUGGAGGACCUGAAGCCCGACGAUCUAUGCCUGGCCAGAUUGAAGCCCGUUGAAAGAUGGGUGGAGGAUCGCACCGUUGCUGAUCUGCAAAUCGCUCGGACGAGCUGGGUAUAGGGGUGAAAGUCCAAUCGAGUUGGGCAAUAGCAGGUUCCGCGUGAAACUACUCGUAGGUAGACGUUCGUGGAGAUAGAUUACGCUGUAGAGCACUGAUUGUGCAUUUAGGGGAAGCGAUUCCUCGGUGUGCUGCCAAACUCCGAAGGUGUAAUCGUUGUAGAUACGAGCAGUGAGUGAUGGUGGGUAAGCUACCAUUACAAAAGGUGAACAAACCAGCCUGAAGUUAAGGUCCCUAAAUAUCAGUUAAGUGUCACAGACAAACCGUGUCCGUGGUCGAAAACAACCAGAAGGUGGGCUUAGAAGCAGCCAUCCUUGAAAGAGUUCGUAACAGAUCACUGGUCUAGCUUGCGGGCCGGGAAAAGGGACGGGGCUCAAACUGAUUACCGAUACUUCAGACCAUCGAAAGAUGAUGUGGUAACGCGGCGU
rnacentral:rRNA from 1 species